rnacentral:lncRNA from 11 species
AUGCAAAGCCCCUUCACCAAGCGGAGGAGCAGGAGCAGCAGGCGCAGCCACCCCUCGCCCAGCCCGGCAGUGGAAGCAGCAGGAGCGGGUGGCGAGGGGCCGCGUCGGGAAGGAGCGAGUGGGCGCCUCGCAUCCUCAGCUGGCGGGGAGGGGAGGGGAGGGGCCAGGCAGGCUCCGGUGGGAACCCCGCAGGUGUUUCUCUCCAGGAGCCCCUCCUUUCCUUUCCUUUCCUUUCCUUUCGUUUCCUUCCUCCGGCCUGCUCGCCCCCUCCUCAGUCCGCCAAAUGCCGCUGCUCCUCCUGCUCCCCACGCCAAACUCUUAGGCUCCUUCCUCCUCUUCUCCGCCUCCUCUUCCUCCUCCUCGCACGCCGGUGCUACUGUAAUACAGAAUGACAGCAUCAAUGCUAGCUAAGGUUCAACAUAAUGAGGCAUGAAUGCUGCAUAAGGACCAGCAGCAAGCUAGAAAAUGAAAAGCGACUGGCUAUUUCCUCAACAACUUUGUGAAGUGGAAGGCUAGUUCUUCUACAAUUGCUGGUCCUUUGGUUUCUGGCAAUAUAAAAAUGUUGUUCUAUAACACACAACUGCACCAUACUCCCAAAUUUCCCAAUUUAGCAGACAGUCCUUCUUAAUCCGAGCCACAGAUCCCCACCGGCUUGGCUGAGGUGGUUCAGGACUGCUUCGGAAAUGAGGGAAUACAGUUUCACAAAACUCUGGAUUCACUUAGGCGUCUUUCAGAAAAAACUUAUUGACCUAAUUUGAGUUGAUUUAGUGAAAAGCUCUCAGUGGUACUGGGAAUGGGAUUGAAGAGGGAGGGCCCUAAAAUGCCCUCCCUUCUAGCUCAUACUGCAUUUGAGAAAAAUAGCAAUAAAAUGCCUGGAUAAAAAUGCUUAGCAGUAAUACAAAGCCUGGAAUGUUGCUUUUCAAAUGUUACAUUAUUUCUUACUACAGUCACCUAACUGCUUGUUACUUGUUAAUGUUACUGCAGUCCAGCAAGGUAACUCAGACAGUUACCCUUUGAUUUGCUGUUAUUACUACUGCAUAAUUAACAGAGACAUACAUAAAACAACAACAACCAGGAACUACAGUUCAGUGCUCUCACUCAAGUGGCAAUUAAGAUAUUACACUUUACACUUACAAUUUUUUCAAGGCAGAAUCCAGUUCCAAGUUCCAACUGUAUCCUUUCAAUUAGCAUCCACUUGAAGUUUUUGGAACCCCUAUGAACUGAGAGGCAAUAUAUAAAUACCACAAACAAUUUCCCCUGGCUUGACUAUACAGUUUUGUGGAAAGUUGAC